UCCUUAAUGAUGUCUCCUGAAGGGGGCAUGUAUAUGGAGAAAGAGUAGGGCACUAAGACAGCUUCCGUGAGCAAAAAGUACAUUGUACCUCUCAGAAAAUUGGUCUCCAAUACAGACAAAAAAAAUUCUUAAGAUGAAUGAAACCAAUUCAACUACCAGAGCGGCCAGCACUGUUCUCAAGGCAAUCCAGGAGAGUUUUGUGGUGAAUUGUGCCGAAGGUAGCACUUAGAUCUACAAGGAUUAGAAUGAAAACCAGAGCUGAGCCUUAGGUCACUGACAGUUUUGAGAUCUAGGUUUGAUCCUGACCUGCCUGUGUGGAGUUUGCACGUUCUACCUGUGACUGUGUGGGCUUCCUUCGAGUGCUCCGGUUUCCUCCGGCAAUCGGAAGACCAGAGAUUGCUUACACUAUCCAUGUGAAGAUUUGAUGCAAGAUCCUCAUCCUUGAAUUCAGAUCCCUCCAUGGCCUCUUUCCCUAUCUCAUGGUAGUGUAGUGGUUAGUGACACUCGCUACCUGUCCCCACCACAGUGGCCGUUGAAGCAAAUGACGCAUUUCACUGUAUGAACAUCUGACAAGUAAAGGUAUCUUUCAUCAUGAAUCCAUUAUUUUUAUUCUAGCUGUAAGGCUCCUAUUCCUCUCUCCAAAUGGAGAAUCACUGUGAA